GUCGGUUUGACGUUUAUUGUCGGUGUCUAGAGCCUCGCCCUUAUCGCAUUCAUCCGUGCUGCUCCGCCAGGGGAGGGCCUCGGGCGUUCGCUUCCCUGGGACUCAGGCAUCUGGCGCACGAGCGGCGGUGGCGGUUCAAGGAGGCGAGACCGACCAAGCCCUCGCCACAAGCGCAGGAUCCUACGGUGCGGAGGCCGACGCAUGGGAGGCCGAUGUUGACGCCCUGAUGACACAGAUCGGCUUCGGCUUUGUGAUCGUCUUCACCUCGCUCUCCGGCGUCGGCGCCGGCGUGCGCCAUGUGGUGUCGCUACCAGGGGCGAAGCUUCUGCUGUUCUGCAUGUGGCGUUCUUCGUUUCCUUUUACUGCUGGGGUCGCGAUGACUUCUUUUCCUCUUCUGAUUUGGGUGAGGCGAGUAUCGGUUUUGGUUCCCUUUCAGAGAAAACAAGUGGCGGCGCUGGUUCCUACUCUCAGAAGGCAUGGUGUCGUCGAUCUCUUCAGCGGGCGGGGAGUGUGGUGCUCAGUGCUCUUCUGCUGCGUGUUUGGUGCGUGCUUGGCUGCUUCUUCGUCGGGGUCAGACCUUCUGCUGCUGAUUUCUUCUGCCUCUGCAUCGAUUUCUUUGGGGGGAGGCUGUGAGCUGCGUCGGCUGGUGGGUUUGCAUCCCCUGCGUCCUUCUUCUGCCUGUACUUCAAUUUCAGUCAGAAAGCUGUUACACCUUUCUGUUUCAGUAUGCACACAAGAGUUCACAUGUUUUUGUUUUUAAUUUGAAAAUAGUUAAAUAGUUAAAACAUUCCCCUGUAGAUCCAUAUUUUGUUCCUGAGUGGUUGAAUGUUUUCAUAAAUUACCACAAAUUUUUAAUAAGCGAAAUCAGGGUGUCUUUCUUUAUAUAGUUUGAUGGUGAGUUUAUUCAUAACAUUUGUACAAGUGUUGAACUUUACUAACGGUAGCUCGGCCCAGCAUAAGAAGAUUCAAUAUACAGAAGAUGGUUGCCAACAAGAGCUUGAUGGCGCGGUGGUUAAAAAUACAACCGACAUCUUAACUCUGUGAGCGCUGCUACACAGACGAGAAACGCCAGACGUUUUUCAGACGAUGCAUCAUAUCAAGCCGUGCAUGUGUAGAGCAAAACUGAACAACGCCGUUCAAUCCCACAUCGUCCAGCGUUCGGCCGGGGUGUUGUCGUCCGCAUAGUAGUUUCGUUCGUCUGUCUCGAUUGGUAUGAAACUAUGAAUACAGAGGUAUAUCAGUCCGCGGUUUAUGUAAUACAAGCAUAUGGGGGUUCCAUGCGGACAUAAGGAAUUCACGACGAUUAUUCUCUAUGUAAUUUGUUGAUAAUUUAUUGAGCAUAUAUAUUGAUUUAACAUCAUUUAGUGGAUAUGUCACCAGUCAAGAUAAUGCUGAAUUUAAGAGUUAGAAGUGAUGCUGAAGAAAUUAAGCCACUCGGGCUACCAUCGGUCCGGUGUCCUAUUGAGCAACACAUGUUGUCUUUUAAUGUAGGACACCUUAAUGGUAAUGUGAUAUCUCUCCAACAUAUAAGUUACUUUUAAUCGAUCA